UAGGGAAUCUUCGGCAAUGGGGGGAACCCUGACCGAGCAACGCCGCGUGAGUGAAGAAGGUUUUCGGAUCGUAAAGCUCUGUUGUUAAGGAAGAACGAGUGUGAGAAUGGAAAGUUCAUGCUGUGACGGUACUUAACCAGAAAGGGACGGCUAACUACGUGCCAGCAGCCGCGGUAAUACGUAGGUCCCGAGCGUUGUCCGGAUUUAUUGGGCGUAAAGCGAGCGCAGGCGGUUAGAAAAGUCUGAAGUGAAAGGCAGUGGCUCAACCAUUGUAGGCUUUGGAAACUGUUUAACUUGAGUGCGGAAGGGGAGAGUGGAAUUCCAUGUGUAGCGGUGAAAUGCGUAGAUAUAUGGAGGAACACCGGUGGCGAAAGCGGCUCUCUGGUCUGUAACUGACGCUGAGGCUCGAAAGCGUGGGGAGCGAACAGG
rnacentral:rRNA from 2 species